CGUUAGCGGCGGACGGGUGAGUAACACGUGGGUAACCUACCUAUAAGACUGGGAUAACUUCGGGAAACCGGAGCUAAUACCGGAUAAUAUUUCGAACCGCAUGGUUCGAUAGUGAAAGAUGGUUUUGCUAUCACUUAUAGAUGGACCCGCGCAGUAUUAGCUAGUUGGUAAGGUAACGGCUUACCAAGGCGACGAUACGUAGCCGACCUGAGAGGGUGAUCGGCCACACUGGAACUGAGACACGGUCCAGACUCCUACGGGAGGCAGCAGGC
rnacentral:rRNA from 1 species